rnacentral:tRNA from 1 species
GGAGAGGUGGGUGAGUGGCUGAAACCAGCAGUUUGCUAAACUGCCGUACCUUUUAUCGGGUACCGGGGGUUCGAAUCCCCCUCUCUCCG